rnacentral:piRNA from 1 species
GGCCAAGAUGGGCUGCCAAGAGUUGC